rnacentral:rRNA from 1 species
GAUGAACGCUGGCGGCGUGCCUAAUACAUGCAAGUCGAGCGAACGGACGAGAAGCUUGCUUCUCUGAUGUUAGCGGCGGACGGGUGAGUAACACGUGGAUAACCUACCUAUAAGACUGGGAUAACUUCGGGAAACCGGAGCUAAUACCGGAUAAUAUUUUGAACCGCAUGGUUCAAAAGUGAAAGACGGUCUUGCUGUCACUUAUAGAUGGAUCCGCGCUGCAUUAGCUAGUUGGUAAGGUAACGGCUUACCAAGGCAACGAUGCAUAGCCGACCUGAGAGGGUGAUCGGCCACACUGGAACUGAGACACGCUCCAGACUCCUACGGGAGGCAGCAGUAGGGAAUCUUCCGCAAUGGGCGAAAGCCUGCCGGAGCAACGCCGCGUGAGUGAUGAAGGUCUUCGGAUCGUAAAACUCUGUUAUUAGGGAAGAACAUAUGUGUAAGUAACUGUGCACAUCUUGACGGUACCUAAUCAGAAAGCCACGGCUAACUACGUG